rnacentral:rRNA from 1 species
CAGAACGCUACGGUGAAUACGUUCCCGGGUCUUGUACACACCGCCCGUCACGCCAUGGAAGUCAGCAGUACCCGAAUCGGGUGGCCCAACCUUCGGGAGGGAGCUCGUUAAGGUAAGACUGGUAACUGGGGCGAAGUCGUAACAAGGUAGCCGUACCGGAAGGUGCGGCUGGAUCACCUCCUUU